rnacentral:rRNA from 1 species
GCUCAAUUUGAAAAAUACAGUGAUACUGUUUGACAUGUAAUUUCAAAAUGUACAACCAAUUGGCAUGCAAGUGGAAGCUCAUUGAAAGAAUGCGUCGAAGAAGGUGAAAAUCCAUUUUGCCACUUGUAAUGUUGUUGUUUAUGGUGUAUAUUUCAGGAGUCACAUUCCUUGGCAUUGGAAUGCAAUGUGGGUGGUAAACUUCAUGCAAAGAUUAAUAUGUGUUUGAGAUUGAUAGUACACAAAUACCGUGAGGGAAAUAUGAAAAGGACUUUGAAAAGAGAUUUAAAAGAGUUUGCAGUUGCUGAACAAAAAACAAAUAGGAUGUCCACGAUUGAGCAGAUUGUUGAACCUCGGUUUGCUUCGAUUGCUAGCAUGUGUGUAUUCAAUGAUUCUAUCUUUGUCUACCAUACCAUUCUCAGCGUAUCAUGACACUUGCAGGUGCUUCGUGUUUUUGCUUGCGAGCUAAUGACAACACCUGCUUGAGAAUGGUAUGCCAAGUGUUCAUUGUGCUUAGAGUCUGCAUGGUGCUAUUGUUAAGCUGCAGGUUUGAACUUGUGCUUUGAGCUGUGCUCUACCUUUUGCAUAUGUCUAUUGGUGAUCAUAUCCUGCUUGACCCGUCUUG